UGUGAACUCUUCCAGAUUGAGGCAUGAGUUAUAGUUAUAAAGCAACAUAUUCAUCCAAAAAUGAAUAUUAAACACAAGAAAUCUGUAGAAAUUCAAAGUCGUUUCACUUGAGACAUCACCCCCGGGAACAAGUUUUCCGGCUUCGGCGCUUUCCGGCACAUCCCCGUGAGUUUAGUCUCUCUAUCUCUCCUAGAAAUGUGUAUAGAUAUAUGAAUCUAUAAACAUAUGAAUUUGUGAGCAGAAAUGGUAUGCUCUCUCUAUGUCUCUCUCUUAUUUUGCUUUCUAUGGAUAUCUAUGAAAAGCCAUGAAAUUAUUGUUGUAUUUUUGUUAUCAAAAUCAGACCAAAUUGAAUAAAAGAUUCUGCCAUGAAU